GAUGAACGCUGGCGGCGUGCCUAAUACAUGCAAGUCGAGCGAACGGACGAGAAGCUUGCUUCUCUGAUGUUAGCGGCGGACGGGUGAGUAACACGUGGAUAACCUACCUAUAAGACUGGGAUAACUUCGGGAAACCGGAGCUAAUACCGGAUAAUAUUUUGAACCGCAUGGUUCAAAAGUGAAAGACGGUCUUGCUGUCACUUAUAGAUGGAUCCGCGCUGCAUUAGCUAGUUGGUAAGGUAACGGCUUACCAAGGCAACGAUGCAUAGCCGACCUGAGAGGGUGAUCGGGCAAACUGGAACUGAGACACGGUCCAGACUCCUAAGGGAGGCAGCAGUAGGGAAUCUUCCGCAAUGGGCGAAAGCCUGAAGGAGCAACGCCGCGUGAGUGAUGAAGGUCUUCGGAUCGUAAAACUCUGUUAUUAGGGAAGAACAUAUGUGUAAUUAACUGUGCACAUCUUGACGGUACCUAAUCAGAAAGCCACGGCUAACUACGUG
rnacentral:rRNA from 1 species